UUAGGGCUAAUACACGUUUGAGGUCUUUUGACCGCGUUUAUUAGUUUGAAACCCGCCUUGGCUUUCGGUGAUUCAUAAUAAACUGGCGAAUCGCAUUUAGCGAUGGACCAUUCAAGUUUCUGACCCAUCAGCUUGACGGUAGGGUAUUGGCCUACCGAGGCAGCAACGGGUAACGGGGAAUUAGGGUUCGAUUCCGGAGAGGGAGCCUGAGAGACGGCUACCACAUCUAAGGAAGGCAGCAGGCGUGCAAAUUACCCAAUCCUGACACAGGGAGGUAGUGACAAGAAAUAACAAUACAGGGCGAAUGUCUUGUAAUUGGAAUGAUGGUGACCCAAACCCUCACCAGAGUAGCAAUUGGAGGGCAAGUCUGGUGCCAGCAGCCGCGGUAAUUCCAGCUCCAAUAGCGUAUAUUAAACUUGUUGCAGUUAAAAAGCUCGUAGUUGUAUUUUUGCGUUAGCGGUUUGACCAUUUGGUUGGUUAUUUCGUUUUCGCUUUUGGGAAUUUCCCUUUUUACUUUGAGAAAAUUAGAGUGUUUCAAGCAGACUUUUGUCUUGAAUACUUCAACAUGGAAUAAUAGAGUAGGACUUUGGUUCUAUUUUGUUGGUUAUUGAACCUUAGUAAUGGUUAAUAGGAACGGUUGGGGGCAUUCGUAUUUAACUGUCAGAGGUGAAAUUCUUAGAUUUGUUAAAGACGAACUACUGCGAAAGCAUUUGCCAAGGACGUUUCCAUUAAUCAAGGACGAAAGUUAGGGGAUCGAAGACGAUCAGAUACC
rnacentral:rRNA from 1 species